rnacentral:ncRNA from 2 species
UGAAUCCGCGCGGGAGAGUUCCCGUCCGAGGCCCACCGGGUCCACGGACCGGGACGCCGAAGGAGCAAGAUCCUCCCUUUAAUCUCUCAGGCCCCGAUACCGCGCAGGACGA